rnacentral:lncRNA from 10 species
CGGGGGACCACACCUCGAGACCCACUGACACUAUCUUGGAUCCUCCUACAAGCCCAAGAGGUGCCUGUUUGGGUCAUCCCAUUGUACAGGGCCCAGGAAGCCAGAGAACAAACAUCCGGAGUCUCUGGAAUCUCUCCUACUUUCCUUCCUCACAUCCCGAGGAUCUGGGAGCCAGCAUGAGCAUGCACACAGCGUGCGCACACACACACACACACACGCACACACUGGGCUGGGUAAAUAUGUCAGCCUGGGAUAUCUUGUGGGACUGUUGUGAAUCUGUGGGUGCCUUAGAACCCCAAAGCCUUGAAAAGAUGAUGAUGCCCUCCCACCAGACCCUCGGACCCUCUAUACAAUUCAAACUAAAUUUUAUCUUGGAAAUGAAAAUUAAAA